GCUCCUAUAGCCUAGUGGUUAGAACAUCCGCCUCGGAUGCGGAAGGUCGUGGGUUCGAUCCCCAGUUUAGUCGUA